rnacentral:rRNA from 1 species
CUACGGGAGGCAGCAGUAGGGAAUCUUCCACAAUGGACGAAAGUCUGAUGGAGCAACGCCGCGUGAGUGAAGAAGGGUUUCGGCUCGUAAAACUCUGUUGUUAAAGAAGAACAUAUCUGAGAGUAACUGUUCAGGUAUUGACGGUAUUUAACCAGAAAGCCACGGCUAACUACGUGCCAGCAGCCGCGGUAAUA